UUUGGCUGGUUCUCAACUUUGAAGACAGGCAGACAACUGAAAAUUGCAGUGUAAACACCUAUUGAGACGAAGGGAAUUAAGAAUAAGUUCUUUAGCAAGUGUGAACAGUUUUAAAUGCACAUUGUGAAGUUGCAGCUU